rnacentral:rRNA from 1 species
AUUGAACGCUGGCGGCAGGCCUAACACAUGCAAGUCGAGCGCGAAAGUUCUUCGGAAUGAGUAAAGCGGCGGACGGGUGAGUAAUACAUGGGGAAUCUGCCUGGUAGUGGGGGACAACGUUUCGAAAGGAACGCUAAUACCGCAUACGCCCUACGGGGGGAAAGGGGGGGAUCUUCGGACCUCUCGCUAUCAGAUGGAGC